AAAGCAGGAAGAAAAUUGAUCUUGUUGUACAACGUAAACAGAGGCUGUCUGCUGUGAGUAUACCCUUUGGUGUGGAGUAACUUGCAAAAAUUAACCUGUGUAACCGUUGGAGACCUCCAGGAGAAGGAGGGCGGCCCUACCCCUACAAUAGUGUGGUGGGCGAGCCGUUAGAAGGUAAAUCCAAACAUCCACAACAACGAGACUUAUUUUGGUCGUAUUUUCCAUCGCCCCUAUCCCAGCCCAAGCGCAGUGGAGGACACCGGGCGCUUCCCUUGUUGUGUUGCACUUAUAGUGUGAGUUAGAGGCGAAAGGGUCCGCCGCCCCCGCGGUCUCUACAAAGGGGCGCCCCUGUCCAGGAUUCGAUCGGCCUACGGGCAGUGGAGAUAGGGCAGCGCUCGGCCCGGUGAGGUGGUGUGUGACCUUCGCCCCUCUGCUGACCUACGGAGGAAACCAUACCUACCCAGAAAGCUGUAAACAGCAGAGCCGGUGAGAAACACUCGAAGUCUCAGUAACAGUGUCUUUGUGUCCUAGCGGCCACCUGUGGAGAGAGAGAAGAACGAGAGUGAAUAAUUGAAGAACAGACCGUGAACGUGAUACCUACCCAGAAAGCUGUAAACAGCAGAGCCGGUGAGAAAUACUCGAAGUCCAAGUAACAGUGUCCUUGUGUCUUAGUGGCCGCCUGUGGAGAGAAAGGACAACGAGAGUGAACAAUUGGAGAGCAGACUGUGAACAUGAUACCUACCCAGAAAGCUGUAAACAGCAGAGCCGGUGAGAAAUACUCAAAGUCCAAGUAACAGUGUCUUUGUGUCUUAGUGGCCGCCUGCGAAGAAGAAGAACGAGAAUGAACAUGAGGAGAGUGGACUGUGUGAAGAUACAGUUGGUGGUGGAGGAGAGCCUAGAGUGGCCAUUAUUUUAAGUUCCCCGUUUUCCCUUCCCUAUAUAUCUUUUUAAGUAAAUUAAAUAAAGUACCUUUUUAAUAUUA